GGCCCAGACUCCUACGGGAGGCAGCAGUGGGGAAUAUUGCACAAUGGGGGAAACCCUGAUGCAGCGACGCCGCGUGAGCGAUGAAGUAUUUCGGUAUGUAAAGCUCUAUCAGCAGGGAAGAAAAUGACGGUACCUGACUAAGAAGCCCCGGCUAACUACGUGCCAGCAGCCGCGGCAAUACGUAGGGGGCAAGCGUUAUCCGGAUUUACUGGGUGUAAAGGGAGCGUAGACGGCAGUGCAAGUCCGGAGUGAAAGCCCGGGGCUCAACCCUGGGACUGCUCUGGAAGCUGUAAAGCUGGAGUGCGGGAGGGGCAGGCGGAAUUCCUGGUGUAGCGGUGAAAUGCGUAGAUAUCAGGAGGAACACCGGCGGCGAAGGCGGCCUGCUGGACCGUAACUGACGUUGAGGCUCGAAAGCGUGGGGAGCAAACAGGAUUAGAUACCCUAGUAU
rnacentral:rRNA from 1 species